UGGGGAAUAUUGGACAAUGGGGGCAACCCUGAUCCAGCCAUGCCGCGUGAGUGAUGAAGGCCUUAGGGUCGUAAAGCUCUUUCGCCUGUGAAGAUAAUGACGGUAGCAGGUAAAGAAACCCCGGCUAACUCCGUGCCAGCAGCCGCGGUAAUACGGAGGGGGUUAGCGUUGUUCGGAAUUACUGGGCGUAAAGCGCACGUAGGCGGACCAGAAAGUUGGGGGUGAAAUCCCGGGGGCUCAACCCCGGAACUGCCUCCAAAACUAUUGGUCUAGAGUUCGAGAGAGGUGAGUGGAAUUCCAAGUGUAGAGGUGAAAUUCGUAGAUAUUUGGAGGAACACCAGUGGCGAAGGCGGCUCACUGGCUCGAUACUGACGCUGAGGUGCGAAAGUGUGGGGAGCAAACAGGAUUAGAUACCCUGGUAGUCCACACCGUAAAACGAUGAAUGUUAGCCGUCGGGUAGCAUGCUAUUCGGUGACACACCUAACGGAUUAAGCAUUCC
rnacentral:rRNA from 1 species